AUAAAUGUUUAAUGAAAUUCUGAGUCUCCUAAGAUGUUGGCUUUAUAGCUUUCUGGCUCAGAAAGUGACAUUUGCGAGGAGUGAGAAGGUAAUGAAAUGGCUGAAAUUACUGCAGGCAGCUUUAGUCAAUCAGGAAAUAAAAAUACUCUGUCCCUCUAUUGCUCAAUGUGAAUGACCCAUUAGGAAGGCUAAAUGGGGCUUUGAAAAAAUCUGUACCUGCUUCAUCUUGCUUUUAGUCCUGUUCAGUGAGCAUGAAGCGGUGGGAGAGAUAGCUGAAAUAGGAGGGAAACCCAGUUCAGGGGAGAAAGACCCGAGUGUAACUUCUCCCCGAAAAUGAAGUUUGUUUUCCACCACCAGGCCAGCACGCUGCAGAUUCUGGUCUGGCAUGCCUAUGGUGGGAAGAUCAGAGGUCUGGUCUCUCUACUGGAGCAAUUGUCCUGACAAGCCUAGAAAAAUGACCUCAGGGGUGGAAAAAGCUGGCAGCUGCUUCUAGAUGAGAAGACUGAGCUCAAGAAAACUCAGAAAAGAAAAAAAAGCAAAGAAAAAAAGAAACCUUCCCCAGGAUAGUACAGUUGCCCCAACACCUGUAAUGUUUUUAUUUAUUUUCCAAACAAGUUGGGUCCACUUUGUCCAGAAUAUUGGGUCCUCUUGAACGCGUUCAGGUUGGAGAUCACAUACCACCUCCUUAUAGAAGUCUCUCAUCCAAAGUAGCAUUGUGUGCCCACCGGUACACAGAAGAAUGAGUAAACAGAGGCAUCUCAUGGUCAUGCUCACUCCCUAAAGUUGCUCCCCUCAUCCCCAAAGCCCGGAAUGAUUUCCUCACCUGGAUCAAGUCCUCUUUGACCCCCGAGGGUGCCACCUUCUCUGAACACAUGAGCCGGUCUGUCCUCCCCUGACAAGCGGCUCCAGUCCUGAUGUGAUCUCUUCCUCUCACUCUCGCCUUUCAGUUCUCUGGGCUGGGUGGACAGAACUAAGACACAGUCCUCCCUCCACUUGCAGGGGAAGCAGAUACAUUCGUAGCCGACAAGGCCAACACAGGGGGAGAGCCACGGACCAGGGACACAUGUGGCCACUGGGGCAGCACCCAGAGCAAAAAUAAAGAUACAUGUGCAAGGUUGAGGGUUGGCUCAGUAGAGCGAAGCCAAGGAAGAGAUGUGGCCUCGAACCGAUCGAAAUUCAACAUCAACAUUUUCUGAAAGGUGCACCGUGGUGCUGGUUUCAACUGCUGGCACCAUCAAGCGGUGGUUAUGUGACCUUGGGAAAAUGGCACAACCUUCCAGCUCCAGUUUCCACCUAGGUAAAAAUCCCACCCGUCUCAGGGCGUCAUUGUGAGGAUUAAAAUGAAAUACCUUAAGACCAUAACGGUAAGGGAAAUAAAUCAGACAUAUAAGUUUAGAUAUGGCAUGGUUUCUCUUAUUCGAGAAAUGCAAAUUAUAAAUAAAGAGCAAAAUAAAAGAUAGACAACAGGAAGUAGGGAGACACUGUAGAUCUUUCUCACAUUGGAAGGGGAUCAAGAGAUGGAGGGUGGGGCUGGGGAUUUAGCUCAGUGGUUCCGGCGCCUGCCUAGCAAGCGCAAGGUCCCGAGUUCAAUCCCUGGUACCAAAAAAAAAAGAGAGAGAGAGAAAUAGAGGGAGGAAGGAGAAAGGGGAGGGGAAGGAGAUGAAAAGGGAGAAAUAAGGUGUGUUAUAUACAUGUACCAAUUCUAUACAGAGAAUGUAAACUUUAUAUGCUGCAAACAUGUACUAAUAAAAAAUAAAUGAACAAAAUACAAAAAAUGAAAUAAUGUGUGCACAGUGGUUAGCUCUAUUUCUGGCAUAUAAUAUACAGUUAGUAAAUGGUACUUCUAAUUAUUAUUUUGUCGUUUUGGGGGCAGGGUCUCUCUAUGUGGUUCAGGCUGGUCUUGAACUCACCAUGUAGCCCAGGCUGGCUUUGAACUCCCAGUUAUCCUCCUGCCUCAGUCUCCUGAGAGCUGGCAUUAGUAGGCACGUACCAUCAUACCCUGUUAGGGUAGUUUCAAUUGGCAUGACAGUGAAGUUCC
rnacentral:lncRNA from 1 species